UUUUUUUUUUUUUUUUUUUGCUAAUUAAACAGAAAUUAAUAACAAUAAAAAUGAAAUAAAUGAUAAUAACAAAGUUUAUAAUAACAGAAAUUGAUAUUGAACAGCAAAUUACAACUUCCAUUUUUCAUCCAUUUUCUUUUUUUUCUUUUCUUUCUUUUCUUUACUUAAAUAAACAUAACAAUAAAAGAAAUAACAAUAAAAUGCCAUCAAAAACACAAAUGCUUGUAAUCUGAAAUAAUAAUAUAUUUUCUUUCUCUUUGAAAAACAAUUAAAAUGUAUCAAAAAGCAAAUAAUGCCUAUUACACUAAAAACUUUUCCUUCAAAUUUCAAACUUUUCACUUUUUUCAAAACAGGCCAGUAUGCAUUAAACCAUUUUUCCCAUUUCUUUUUCCCCUUUUUUUUUUUGUCACUUUUCUCUUUUUUUUUUUUUUCUCUAAAAUAAAUCUACGCUAAAACUUAUAAAUUAAAAACUACAAAAACAACUAAAAACUAAACAGGGAAAUAAAAUAAAACCUAAAAAAGCUAGACAAACGAAAAUGAGCUAAAAUGCAAAAACCGUCUAAACAAAAAUCAACCGAUUAUCACUAAAACCACACAUACAACAUUAAUUCAAAAAUUUGGUGUCUACAGCGUUCCAGUAGAGUGGAGGUCACCUUAACAUUGCCAAAACUCACCUUAUGACUCCCAAGACAGGGUUUCCACUCACAAAAGGAUUCUAACAAAUCCCACUCUUUGAUCAUCAACCCUGCUACUUGAACCUUACGACUCAAGGCAUCGGCUACCACGUUUGCCUUUCCCAGAUGGUAGUUGAUUGUGCAGUCGUAAUCUUCCAGAAAUUCCAUCCACCGUCGUUGCCUCAUGUUUAAUUCCUUCUGGGAGAAGAGGUACCUAAGACUCUUAUGGUCCGAGUACACUUCAAAGGUCACCCCAUAUAGGUAAUGCCUCCACUUUUUCAGUGCGAAAACAACGGCGGCUAGCUCCAGAUCAUGGGUCGGGUAAUUCUGCUCAUGGAGUUUCAACUUCCUAGAGGCAAAAGAGAUCACAUUACGGCUCUGCAUUAAAACGCAUCCCAGGCCUUCUCGCGACGCAUCAGUAUACACAGCAAAUCCGUCCACUCCGUUAGGCAAGACUAGCACUGGAGCCAUGGUCAAUCUUUUCUUUAACUCUUGAAAACUUGUCUCACAUCGAGCAUUCCAUACGAACCGACCAUGUUUCUUCGUCAGGUCAGUUAAAGGACCUGCUAACUUGGAGAAGUCUUUAAUGAAACGUCAGUAAUACCUAGCUAGCCCUAGGAAACUGCGGAUCUCUGUGGGGUUUUCUGGCCUCUUCCAAUUCGUCACGGCUUCUACUUUCGCCGGGUCAACCGAGAUGCCUUCGUGGGAGAUUACGUGCCCUAGGAAAGCGAUUUUCUCCAGCCAAAACUCGCACUUACUGAACUUGGCGUAUAGCUGAUGUUCCCUUAAAGUCUGCAACACCACUCUUAGAUGUUGCUCAUGCUCCUCGCGAGUUUUGGAGUAGACCAAAAUGUCAUCAAUAAAAACAACGACAAAUCGGUCUAAAUAGGGCUUAAAAACCCUAUGCAUUAGGUCCAUGAAGGCGGCAGGAGCAUUGGUUAAUCCUAAGGGCAUAACUGCGAACUCGUAAUGCCCAUAUCUCGAGUUGAAGGCAGUUUUCGGAAUGUCCUCCCUCCUAAUCAACAACUGGUAAUACCCUUGUCGGAGGUCCAGUUUUGAAAAAACCACUGCUCCUUGCAGCUGGUCGAACAACUCAUCAAUGUGGGGCAGUGGAUAUUUAUUCUUAACCGUGACGUUGCUCAGGCCCCGGUAAUCAAUACACAUCCUCAAACUUCCGUCCUUUUUCUUGACAAACAGGACAGGAGCUCCCCAAGAAGACCCACUCUCUUGAAUGAAUCCCCGCUCCAGAAGGUCCUGUAAUUGCAACUUUAGCUCCUUGAGUUCGGCAGGGGCCAUUCGGUAUGGUGUUUUUCAGAUGGGUGAGGUUCCAGGUAGCAGGUCUAUCUUGAAUUCUAUCUCUCUUUCCGGAGGUAGGGCUACUAACUCAUCAGGGAAUACAUCUGGAAAUUCCCUUACUAUGGCCACGUCCUCCACCUUUAAUUUAUCCGUAGGGGUGUUGAUCAGAAAGGCCAAAAAUCCUUACGCCCCUCUACUUAGCAGUUUUCUAGCCCCGAAUGCCCGAAAUCAAAGCAGAUGAGGCUAACCUACCCCUUAUAUCCAACCUUAAGGUUGCCUCACCAGGGAUACGGAAUUCUACCACUUUCGUUUUACAGUCCAGUUGGGCAUUAUACUUGGCUAGCCAGUCCAUACCCAAGAUCACAUCAUACCCCAUAAUGGACAGGCUUAUCAGGUCCCCUAACAAUCUCUUCUCUCCUACCCACACUUCACAAUCCCUAUAAACCAUACUAGUAAUCAAACGUUGAUUCCCCGUAGGUAUACUAACUUCUAGGUCGUAUGGUAAACUAGCAGGUUUUAGAUCGAUGCCACACAUGAAAUCAGGGUUAACAAAGGAAUGAGUGGCACCAGGAUCAAUUAAAACUUUGACAAAACUGUGGAAGAUAGGGAUCGUACCUUCUACGACCUCAGAGGAAUCUGGGACCUGUUGGGGCUCUAAUGAAUAAACUCGAGCUGGCACCUUAGGUUUGGACCCAUCUCCCUUAGCUGGUCCAACAUUGGUCCUCGGCGGUGGUUGGCUUUCUUUUCCAUCUUGUUUUAAGACCGGGCAAGUGGCCAACUGAUGGUCUGCGCUUCCGCAACGCAGACAUUUGCCUUCCUUCCUCCAGCAAUUAUCCUCUGUGUGGUUUGGCUUCCCACAAUGCCCACAGGGACCGCGAGGUGCUGAAGCUGAGCCUCCCUGAAAAUUUCCUCUUUGGCCUCGCCCAGCUUGGCCACCCCUAGACGGAGUCCCUCUGCCUGAACCCGUCUGUCGUCCACCUCCAGCUCCUCGUCCGAACUUGGAGGGGUACCUUUAUCUCCUUGCCCGGAACUACUUCCAGGAAAACCCCUUUGCCUGGAAGUUCCGGACUUGCAAUCUAGCACUCUCUACCCGUUGGGCCUUUUCCACGACCUCGCUAAAAGCAUUGAUUUGAGCCACUGCGAGAUCCUUCUGGAUUUCGACAUUCAAGCCCUGGAUAAAGCGCCUGAUCCGCGGUUGCUCGAUCAUGAUCAGCUCGGGCGCAAAUUUGGGCAGACGGGUGAAUUGACUCUCAUAUUCCGCCACAGAUUGAGCCCCUUGGCGGAGUCGGAUGUACUCAUCUUCCUUCCUCUCCUGAACUAGAGGAGGGAAGAAUUUCGCGUUGAAUUCCCUUAUGAAAUUCACCCAAGUUUUGGGCCUUUGUUCCCGUUCCCAUUUUUGUCGUAUUACGUUCCACCAGGAACGGGCCGCCCCUUCCAACUGAAAAAUGGCAAAAGUCACCUGCCGUUCUUCGGUGUAGUGUAAGGCCGCAAAAAUAUCGACCAUCUUCUCAUGCCACCUUUCGGCGACAUCCGGAUCGGGUCCCCCAAUAAACUUGGGUGGAGCAAACUUUUGAAAUCGUUCGAGAGCUCUGUCUUCGCUCUCGAUGUGAUUGCCAGGAUUUCCAGGGUUAGGAGUAAGGUUCUGACCCUGUUGCUGCACCACUUGUGCCAGCAGGUUGGUCAUUUGCUGCAUAGCGGCAGCUAUUUGCACGUUGGGGUCAGGAUUAGGUCCAGAUGAGAUUUCCCCAGUACCCCUGUCCGGUGUGGAUUGUCUAUUUCCGCGCCCACAUCCCCGUCCACUACGUGUACCUUCCAUGAACUCUACUUGGUUUACGCAAAUGUACUAAACCAAUAUAAGAACAAUGCAUGUAAGUAAAACCCAAAAACUUUUACAAACAUAUAUAUACAUUCCAAACAAGGCAAACAACACACAUAUCAACAACCAGUCAAGUCAAGUACAGUCAAGUCAAGUACAAACAUAGAAAAUCCACCAGGAAUGGCCUUAUCAAAAGAAUAUACACGUAGCUAAUCCAAACGUACAAAACGAUUAGCUAAGGCUCUUUUCCCUAUCCGCCCUAUAUACAGAAAAUAAAACUAUCCCAAAAACCCUAGAAGUCGUGACCUAGUCCGUCGACGGGCUAGUAGACCCACCCGACGGGAUGGAUCCAACCCCAGCCUCGGGCCCCGUACACGAGUCCUCGCCGCUCACUCCCACGACCACGUCGGCGCAGAGGUUUAGGAUCGAUGCGGCUCGAACCUUAACCUUUCGAGCUCGCUUAGUCUCGCGCUCACGUGCUUCCCUAAGUUGAGUGCAGAGGUCAUCAAUCCUAUCAUCUACCUCAAGCACGUCGUACUCUAGCCCCUUAAUGCGCUCAGCCUGUUUCUCAUUGGCCGCCCUAAGCUGGGUCACCUCGGCCUCAAGCCUAGCAUUAUCUUCGGCCAACUCCUUACGCUCCUCAGCCACGGCCCACACUAAGGCGUUAGGGUAGGCGUACGUGUGACGACACUCGCAACGUCAGAGGCGGUUAGCCGGGCUCCAACGCACAACGGCCCCUCUUGGCCGAAUCAGGUAUGGGAUCACUGGGAGCGCUCCACGAGGUCGCUCGCCCGGAGGGCUAUCACUAGGCUCACCCCGUCCGUCCAUCCUGCAUCAAAAGAGUAAAUCAAUGUAAAUAACCUUAAGGAACAUACUUAACAUAAUCCUCAAGUCGAGCCUUUCUAACACGCCCAGGCCAAUUCAAACCUAGGCUUUGAUACCACCUGUGACAGCCCCACCUUCCCCUAAGGCGAACCAAAGGGGUUAGCGGACUGUCUGCCCAACUCUCGCCAGGACUAACGGUUCAGUUUAGAGCAAUCUAAUACGUUCCGGAACAUACAAACGCGCUUAAACAAGUCACAAUCACAAAAUAAAAUAAAAUAAAAAUAAAAAUAAAAAAAUGAAAAUCGGAGCCGGCCAUGAAUAGUACCGGCCACGUCAGAAUCCGGCCACACAUCACGCAAACAUACACAUCUUGAAAUUCAACAUUUACAUACCAAAAUGGCAGACCAAAUUAUCCCAUAAGUUUAUACAUGUACGGUUGCAAAUUACAAUUCAACGAUGGGUUAGGUCAAAAUGAGUUUAGGGUUUUGCCCAAAAGGAGCUAUUCAAAGUAUAUAUAUACAUAAGCUCAACUCGACAAUCCAUAUUCAUCGCCUUUCCAAAAGUAUUCAAUUUCCUGUAAGGAAAACAAAAGGGACAGAGUGAGCUUGUGAGAACCCGUAAUUUGCAUUUUCUAGGUUUUUACAUUUUUCAUGGCUUGUUUUCUGCAUUUUCGUGAUUAGGAAAAAAUUCUAGAUAUUGUUAAAGAGCAGAUAUAGUUUUUAGAUGAUUUUUCUAGUAUCGAAUAGGUUUUGAGAAAUUAAGAGUGUAUACUGGAUGUGGGACCCACUAGUGCGAAAAGUUCGGAAAAAUUCGGCCAAUUAGGUUAAGUUUUGAAUACUGGAAUUAAAUUACCGGGUGUUAUGAGAUAUUUAGAGGUUUCCAAGUGGAUAGGUGUGAGAGAGACAAAAGUUAGGCAAACCAUUAAUGCAAGUGACAUGUGUCACUUAGAGAUUAAAUUCUACUUUUGACUUACUAUUCAUGCUUUUACCAUUUUAGCAAAAUAACUCAAAAAUUUGACCCAAAAAGUCCCACAAAUAUCAAGCUCAUAGCCGGCCCUCAUUAGAGAGAAAAGAAAAGAAAAGCUCUUCCAAAAUUUGAUCCAAACUUGCUCAAUCUUCCACUCCUACCGUUUAAUUUUGGUUUUGCUCCACAAAACUCCUCCACUUGGUGAUUUUAUAUCUACAAAAUGAUUUUAUAUCAUUUUAAAACUAUCUUUGCUCAUAAACUUUAUCUGGGGAAUUUUUCUAAUAAAGAAAUGUAGAAAAGGCGGGCGAUUAAAAAAAAAUAAACCCUAGAAAAUUAGAAAAUUUUCGGGUUCUCACUCUCAUUCUUUCGGGGCGUCACAAACUCCCCUCCUUAAAAGAAUGUCGUCCUCGACAUUCCAUCUUGUACCAAUCAAGUCGAGAUAUCCCGCAAGAAUCUCUCAAGCAUUCCAAGCAGACACUAAGAGUCAAAUCAAACCCACAGUCCGGCAUCCUAAACUUCAAGCCUAGGAUACACUACAGAGAUCUGAAGCCUAAGCUCUGAUACCAACUGUGACGGCCCCACCUUCCCCUAAGGCGAACCAGAGGGUUCGGCGGGCCGCCUGCCCAACUCUCGCCGGGACUCAGUCGCUCACUAAGUCCUCAAAUAAAUUACCAUAUAAAUCCCGAUUAUAACUCAAAUAUACAAAACAUGGUCCACAAUUAUAUAUCCAAGUCUCCAAAAAUUACAUGACACAAAUGCAGCGGAAACUAAUUCCCAACUAUACAUUAAAUGAUUCCAAAUCCAAACUGUACAAGAUAUAAGCCAUCCAACCACGUGAAUAAGUACUACCAGCCUUCCUUUGCCACGAGCCCUGUGGAGGGGAAUAAAAAUAUUUUUGGGAUGAGCUAAAAGCUCAGCGAGUAACCAGUAAAAUCAGUAAUCAAAUAUAUUUCACAAUAUUGCAUUUCGAUCCUUUCGAGGAUGUCAUGAUUCAAAGAACAAAUGUCCGUUUACUGCUCUCGUGAGCCAUUGAAGUCAUAGCACUUGAACACCCAACGUUCAAAUAGAUCAUUUAACAUUAACAUUAACAUUAACAUUAAGAGGGAGCCCCUUUUUGAGCUCCGGAGCCAUUUGCUCCAAGUAAACAGAGGUGGAGACGUUGGUGUCCAGCACAAGACUCCCCAAGAACUCAUUGAAGCCAAACUCAUAUCAUGAAUUCACAUGCAAGCACACAUGAGAUGCAGUCGAGUAAAUAAUGCAAGAAACAUUUCAUAAGAAGCUUUAACAAUAGUUUGGGGUCACUCACCUCCAUGGCUCAGGAACCAUCCAUCAUAUAUCAUUGUCUUGCUCAAAUCCAAGUCUUAGUUCACAAACUCAAUGCAAACAAGUCCUUUCAAAAUGCGGACAGCACUUCCUCUUAUCUUUCUUUACUUUUCCAGCCAUCAAGGCUUCAUUAUUUCCUCAUUCCAACCCAAAGGUACACACACAACAACAAGUUCAUCCAAUAACCAUUCAGCAAGCUCCAAGUAGCUAGUACAAGUCAAGUUAGGGAAAAGUCCGGAAAUGAAAGUUAAGCUCAAAACCAGAAAAACAGGUUUUGACGUCAUUUUGCGGUAAUGGCACCAAAGGCGCUACCAUUGUCGGAUGAAGGUGUAAGAUACACAGUUUCGAAACUAAGAGACAGGGCUACAAUAUUGCAGAAGGUCACUCAACCCAGUUUCGAGUGUAACCAGGUCAAAAAUGCAAGAUACUAUACCAGAAUCACAAAAACAGAUUCACAGAAUGCAUUCUAGCGGAAACAUCAUAACUCAGGCUCUCCAAGUCCAAGUCUAGAAAUUCCAAAACCUGCUGAAAGCUAAGAAAUAGGGCUACAUUUCAUCAGAAUAUCUCAACAACCAAUUCGGAAGCAUUCUCAACCAAAAUAACCCAUUACAGACGCACUUCUCAAUUUCGGGUAAAACCAGAACAGCAAUAGUAAUUUCAACUUUUCUCAUUCCAUACUACUCCGAUUGAACUGAAAUUUUGUAGACACCUUUAAAAUGUCAUUCCCUACAACUUUCAUGUUUUAAGCCAAGGCCAAUUCGGCCUCUAACUAGGACAUAAAAAUUCGGACAGAAUGUAGCUUCAUGAACCCUAGGUUUUUCAAUUUUCUUCCAAAACAGAAAUUACUUGCAAUCUUCCACUUUUUCCACCUUCUAGAUGCCUUAUAUACCAUUUCUAAUCAUCAUAGAUAGCCACUCAAUCAUGCUUAUAUUAAAACAGAAAAUUCCCAAAAAUAAUAAAACUUCAUCACUUCAACCAAAACCAAGAUAUAAUCCAUAAAAGUGCAUCUUAUACCACCACCAAUCAUGAAUUGAACAUCAUUAGAGGAAGGAAAGUGGUUCUUCACAACUCACCUUAGCAAUACAAGAGAUAGAGCAAUUAGUCACCUUAGCUUUCCAAACAACUCCACAAAACACCUCAAAACCACUUAGCAAAGAGAUUUUAUGGAAUGAUUUGGAGUUUUAUUGGUUGGAUUUGAAGAUUGAGCAAGAAAUAGAAGGAAAAAAUUGAGAGCUUUUCUUUCUUUCUUGAGCAAGAACAUUCGGCCAAGAAGCUUGCAAAAUGAAGAGAUUUUUGGUCAAUUUCAAUUAAAUGGUAAAGUUAUGAAUAGUAGUCAAACUCAAGACUAAAUCUUAUGGUGACACUUGUCACCUUUAGGUUUAAAACUUAUCUUUUUGUCUCUCCAAUGCAAAUAUCUUAACACUUUGUAAAAUAAUAUCACUUAAUACAAAAUUCCAACAAGUUGUCAAAUUCCUGUGAAUUUUAAAACCCGUAAUUUGAAAUAUAAGCAUACGAUCCAUUCUUUCAUUAAUCAUAUCAUUAUUAAAUCACAACAUAUACACUAGUAACUAAUUAGAAGUAUAUUUGAUUAAUACAUAAGCAAAUAUUACACCCAACGCUUAGUACCUUAGAUUAAUGAUAUUAAAAUAUUUUAUGAUUUAAGUAUAUUUGAGAUAUAUAUUAACAAGUUCAAUAAAUUAGAUUUUUAACAGUGUAUCUUGCACCUUCAUCCGACAAUCGUAACGCCUUUGGUGCCAUUACCGCAAAAUGACGUCAAAAUUGUUUUUCUGGUUUUGAGCUUAACUUUCAUUUCCGGACUUUUCCCUAGCUUGACUUGUACUAGUACUACUUGGAGCUUGCUGAAUGGCUAUUGGAUGAACUUGUUGUUGUGUGUGUACCUUUGGGACUGGUUGAGGAAAUAAUGAAGCCAUGAUGGCUGGAAAAGUUAGCAAAUUCAGGAUAACAUAUAUAUGUGAAUUAUAUAUUUACAACUUUACACCAAAUUUUGAUAUAUUCAGUACAUGAUACCAAAUUCAGGAUUGAACAACAAGUUCAUCAUGGCUUCAUUUGUGCUCAAGUGAUAAACUAUAAAAUUUCUAUAUAUUAUGUUAAAAAUUUCUAAUAUUAUUUUAAUAUUUAAAUAUUAAUAUAUAUUUAGUUACAACUUAAAUAUCAUUUUGAAUAUUAAAGGGGUUUAGUUACAUGUAUAGUUGGGAAUUGUUUCCGCUUCGCUUAUGACAUGUAAUUUUUGGAGAAUUUGAUGUACUUAAUGAAUAUAAAUAAAUUAAUCUAAUUGUGAAUAUAAAUAAAUUAUAUUGUGAUAUACAUAUAAUAAUUAUAAAACUUUAUAUUAAUUAUUAUAUUGUGAAUUAUUAUGUGGUUAUAUUAUAAUUGCUUAUAUAAAUUAUAUAUAACUAAUAAAAGAUAUGGUUAAAAUGUUUUCCAUUUUUGACCAUGAAAUUUCAUGAUUUGACUUUGGAGGUCUUCAUAAUAAAUGUAUUUUUAUGUCUUGGCUUCGAAACGCCAUAAUGACGUUUCGACCUAAACCCUAACUUGCGCACAUAUUUGUACAUGGCUUGUGUAUAUGAGCAAUUUUGAAACUAAAACCCUUGAACUUGUGGCUCAGGGUGACUUUUUAUAAGAAAAAUCAAGCUCCACCUAUUAUAAUAAUAGUAAUACUAUAAUUAACAAUUAUACGAUAAAUUUAAUAAAAUAAUUAUUUUAUAAUAGUAUUGGCACACUUAUACACAUAGUCAAGUUUGUGUGAAUAAUAUUUUAAUAGUAUAAACUUAAUGUGUAAAUAUUUAUUAUAUAAUAUUAAACUAGUUUAAUUAGUACAGAUUUUUAUUAUUGAGCUUGGUUCACAAGCUCGGGUCACAAACUUGGUCCACAUAAUCGGUGAACCGGAUUCACAAACUUGGUGACCUCAAACCAGGUUGGACUAACUUCGACCAAGCCCUAACCGGCUCGAAUAGUCCAUCUAGGUCAUGAGAUCGGGCCCCAAACUCACAAACUUCACAAAAUUUAUGCAAAAGUCACCCCGAGCCACAAGCUCAAGGGGUUUAGUUCCAAAAUGAUUCAUUUACAUUAGAAAUAAUUACUAUAAUGUGAUAUUUAAUAUAAUAAAUCAUGGUUUGGUAUUAUUACAACUGUGACUUUUAUAUAUUAUUAUAAUAAUAAAUAUUAUAACUAUAUUUUCAUUAGUUAAAUAUUAAUAUAUUAUUAUUAGCAAUUCCAGCUAAAUUGCUUCCGAAUUGGUUGUUGAGGUCUUCUAAUGAAAUGUAGCCCUGUUUCUUAACUUUCAUCAGGCUUUGGAAUUUCUGGAUUUGGACUUGGAGAGCCUGAGUUAUGAUGUUUCCGCUAGAAUACGUUCUGUGAAUCUGUUUUUAUGAUUCUGGUAUAGUAUCUUUCAUUUAUAUUAUAUUAAUAACCCUCGUCAACAAAUAAUAUUAUAUUAAAAUAUAAUAUAAUUUAUUAAUAUAUAUAAAUUAUAAUAUUAUUAAACUUAUAUUAUAAUAUAUAACUAAUUAAUACACUAAUAAAUACUAAUUACAAAAUUUAUUUAAGAUAAUAUUAUAAUUUAUAAUAUUAUAUUAUAGUGAUAUAAAUAUUAAUAAUUAUUAUAAUUUGUAUAUAUUAAUAUAUAAUUAUUUGUAUAUUAUAUAUUAUAAUAUUAAUUAGUUAAUAUAAAUAUAUAGUUAAAUAUUAUAAUAUAUCCAUAAAUAUUUUAUUAUAUUAUAAUAACUAAUAUUAUAUACUAUUGUAAUAAUUAAUAUUUAUAGUUUAUUAUAUUAAUAUAUUAUAAUACCAGCUAUUAUAAUAAUAAUAUUAUACUAUUAUAAUAUAUAAUAUAUAUAUUAAUUAUAUAUUAAUAUAAUAUUUAUAUAUUAUAAUUAUUAAUUAUUAUUAUACAGAUAUAUAUUUAAUAAUUUAUAUAUUAAUAUAUUAAUAUUAAUGAUAAUAUUAGUUUAAAUAAUAUAAUAUAUUGUAUAAUUAAUUUAUAAUACUAAUAUUAUUAAAUAAUAUUAUAUAAAAAUAUUAAUAUUAAUUAGUAUUAAUGUAAUAUUAUUAUAUAACAUAAAAUAUGGAUAUUUAUUAUUAAAUAUUAUAUAUUAAUAAUAGUAUAAUAAUAUUAAUACAAAUAAUUUGUAUUAAUCAUAUUAUAAUAUUAUUAAUAAUUUAUAAUAUAUUAUAAUAAAUAUAAUACUUAUAAUAAUAUUUUAAUAACUAUUAAUACACCAAAACAUGGAGUUAAAGAGGAAAUACGAAGAGAUUUCCAAGGAGACUGUAGCAAUGGCACAAAGCAAUACUUCUAUGGGGGUUCCAGAGGAAGCUCAAAAGAUAUGAAUUGUAAGGCCACAACUGAAGAUCUUCCAUGUAAAGAAAAAGGGUAAAACUGGUAGAUCACUUGCUAAGAUAUUUAUAAUAUUAUUAUACUUAUAUUAUAUAAUAUUUAUCCAUAAUUAUAUAUUAUAAUAUUAUAAUUUAAUAUAUUAUAAUAUAUUAUAAUAGUAUAUUAUAAUAUAAAAUAUGUUAUAUAAUAUUAUAUAUUAUAAUUAUAAUUUAUUAUUAAUAUAAUUAAUAAUAUUUGAUACAUAUGCAUGUAUAUUAUAUAUACAUAAUAUUUAAAUAUUAUAUUAAAUAUUAAUAUAUUAUAAUAAUGUAUUAUUAUAUAUAUUAUAAUAUUUUAUUGGUUACUCGCUUAGUUUCUAACUCACCCCAAAAAUAUUUUAUUCCCUUCCACAGGGCUCAAGGCGAAGGAAGGACUUGUAGUACUUGUGCACGUGUCUGGAUGGCCUAUGUUUUAUACAAUUUGGAUUUGAAAAUCAUUUUAUGUAUAGUUGAGAAUUGUUUAUAUAUAAAAUUAUACUAAGUUAUAAUAUUAUUAUAAUAAUAUAUUAUAAAUUAUACUAAUAUUAUAUUAUAUUAUAAAUAUAUUAAUAUACUAAUAAUAUAAAAUAUACUCUCCAGGAUUAAUAAUAAUAUAUUAUAUAUUAUACUAUAUCAUAUUAUUAUAAUAAUAUUUAACUAUAAUAUAUUAAUAAUAUAAUUAUAAGCUAAUAUUUAUUAGUAAUUAUAAUAUAUUAGUUAAUAUAUAAAAUCAUAUUAUAAUAUUAUUAUAACAUAUAAUAGUUAUAUAUUACUAAUAAAUAUAUUAUAAUAUAUUAUAUAUUAUACAUUAUUAUAUUAAAUAAUUUAUAUAAUAUAUAAUAUUAAAUAAUUUAUAUAAUAUAUAAUAUUAACUUAUUUUAUAUAUGUAUAUAUUAUAUAUAAUUAUAUAUUAGUUUAAUAAUAUUAAUAUAAUAUUAUAAUUUAAACUUAUUAUAUUAUAAUUAAUAUUAUAAUUAAUAUAUAUUAAUAUAGUGUAAUAAUAUAUACUAUAUAUUAUAUUAAUAUUAUAAUUAAUAUUAUAGUUAAGUUUAAUAUUAUAUUAAUAAUAUUAUAAUAUAAUAAAUUAAUAUCAUAUAAAUUAAUAUUAUUUAGUCACGUAUAUAUUAUAUAAUAAAUUAUUAAUACUCGUUCUCUUGUCUGUUCAUAUGCCAAUUUUGGUGUCAAUCUGAAUCUGUAUCUGUAUCUGUGACCUAUGAGCUCAAAUCCUGUGGCUAAGUUAUUCGAGUCGGGCCGGCAAGGGCCUGGACGAUUAGAUAACGAACCACGGUAGUCUGUUUUAGGAUCUUUGGGUAUUGAAACCCUUGAUUCCGGUAUACUCGAGUUUACCAUUUCUGUUUCUGUUGAGGUGAGCGGGCCCGGUAAAGGGGUGUUUGGUGGACGGAAUUUGGUGUAAAGUGGGGUCUACGGACGUGUUGGUUCUAUAUACGUUGACGGAGAGUCAACCGGUUUGGAUCAAGUACUGCGCUGGAAAGCUGGCUCCUGAGAGCCACCUGUAUCCUUCCUAUUUGAGUUCUUGUGUUUACCUGUCUUACUUUAUAGCGAGCAUGUGUAUCUGGUUUGUAUAACGUGAAAUACCUGAUUUUUCUGCUACAUGUUUGGUACCUCAUUGAGCGUAAGCUCACCCCCUCCUCGUUAUCUUUGUUUUCCUUACAGGAACCUCUUUUGGAAAUCAUGAUUUUGAGAAGCGAGUUGAGCUAGUUAGAAACUCUUUUGUUCUUUUGUAUAGCUCCUCGAGAAUGAGCAAACCCUAAAUGUAUUUCGUUUCACUGGUUCCAUUUGAAUUGUAAACCUAGUGACACGUAUAUAUGAAAGCGUUUUCCCCAUGUUUAAGCUUGGCGGUCUUCAAUCGCUCAUUUCUUUUGGGUCCUCUCGCGUAAUAUCAGAUUUGUGUGAUUCGACUCCGUAGUUCUGGCGAGAGCUGGCAGGCGGUCCGCUGAACCCUUUGGUUCGCCUUAGUAAACUAAUAUAUAUUAAACUAAUAUUAUUAUAUAAAAUUAUAUAAUAUUAUAAUAUUAUAAUAUUAUUAACUGUGACGGCCCCACCUUCCCCUAAGGCGAACCAGAGGGUUCGGCGGGUCGCCUGCCCGGCUCUCGCCGGGACUCAGUCGCUCACUACAUUCCUCAAACAGAUUACAAUAUAAAUCUCAAAAAUUACAUCAAAUUCUGCAAUAAUUACAUAAACGAAUAUAUCAAGUUAUACAAACCACGAGUACCAGAAGUACCCUAGAAAAGCUGAUAACUCUAACCACCAUGACAAAUAUAUACAACUUACUAGUCCACUUCUAACAAGUACAAGUUCAACUUAUCUAAACACCUUCCCGAGCGAUCCCCGCGUCGGCCCCCUGCUAAGGAAAACAAAUAGAAUGGGGUAAGCUAUAUGCUUAGUGAGUAACCAGGGGUAAAAAUAUAGUUUUUACAUGUCAACAUUUGACCAGUAAGAGCAAAGCAAAAGCAGAAAAGUAACACCACAUAGUAAGGAUACGGGUGGCUCCCAAGCCAACUCUUUUGUCGAGUUUGAUCACUGGUUGACCCUUAAGAUCCUGAGCUACACAGCUCACUUCUCUUGCCCAAGUCACGAGCAAUAAAUGCUCUCAAGCAAUAAAUGCUCUGGUUCAAGCAAUAAAUGCUCUCAAGCAAUAAAUGCUCUGGUUCAAGCAAUAAAUGCUCUGCAAAUAUUCACAAGCCAUGAAUGCUCUAUAACAAAUCAUAAAAAUCAUAUUUCACAGGUAUGAAUAGCAACUAAUGGGGUUUAGAUCGAGUGCGAUAAAGUACACCCUCGCCUAAGUGCCCAUUCAUAGUAAACUCAUUUUUUGUAUUGAGUUACACAGAAAUCCUAAUCACUCACCUAAAGAGCAAGUAUAACGAGAGAAAGUACGGAAAUGAAUUCAAGUCGCCAGCUAGUGGGCCCCACCGGCUCCGUCUAGCCCGCCUUCGCCUGUAGCAGAAGGUUGAGCCAUAUCAUCACACAAACAAGUACUAAAGGACGCAAAUUAAACAAAACGGCAAAAUUGGCACAUGCACGCGUGCGGAAACGGCAACGGAAACGGCUAGAUUUGGCAUCAAAAACCGUUUUGAUCAAAAGUUAGGCUGGGAAUGUCGGAUCAAAGUGGGUGAGACACCGCUUCGAAGCUAUGAGGAAGGGCUACCAUUCUCAUGAAGACACCUUAAUCUAGAUCUGAAUGGAAGCAGGUCGAAAUUAUGGAAAACAGUACCAGAAAUUUACGUGUUCGGGUGACGAACAGGGUUUGUUUGCUGGGCCAUAACUCACAGCUCACAAAUCCAAAUCAAGAAAUUCCAAAGGCGUUGGAAAGCUAGGACAUAAGGCUAUAACUUUAACGUUUGGAUCAAAAGCUGAAUCAAUACAGAGCAUGGAAAAAAAUGGGUCCAAACAUUCCUGUCAGAACUGUCCAAAUUCGAAGGCAGUUCUGACAACCGAUCUUGUUUUGGUCACAACUGGAGCUACGGGACUCGGAUUUGGAUGAACUUUAUACCGUUUCGAAACUGAAACCAAGAUCUAUAUUUGUUAUGAAGGGGUCAACACCCAGAUCGUACGUUAUCAAAACAGACAAAACAGGGCAGAAGCUAAAUGCAGAACGUACGUAAAUUCCAGGGUACAAAAUAGGUGCGAGUGUUUUGGCUAUAACUCGGGCUACCUCAGUCCAAAUCAAGUGAUUCCAAAACCAUACGAAAUAUAAAAAACAGGGCUAUAUUUCAUCAGAAGGCCUCAACAACCAAUUCGGAAGCAUUCCUGACCAAAACAACCAAUUAUAGAAGCAAUUCUCCAAUUCGGGUAAAACCAGGACAGCAAUAGUAAUUUCAAAUUUUCUCAUUCUACACUACUCCGAUUGACCUAAAAUUUUGUAGGCACCUCUAAAAUGUCAUUCCCUACAACUUUUAUGUUUUAAGUCAAGGCCAAUUUGGCCUCUAACUAGGAGCUAUAAAACCGGACAGAAUGUAGCUUCAUGAACCCUAGGUUUUUCCAUUUUCUUCCAAAACAGAAAUUACUUGCAAUCUUCCACUUUUUCCACCUUCUAGAUGCCUUAUAUACCAUUUCCAAUCAUCAUACAAAGCCACAACAUAUGAAUCAUAGUAAAUCAGAAAAUUCAUGAUUAAAUAGAAAAUGUCAUCAAUCUUCACCAUAAGUCAUGAAAUCAUCCAAAAAAUCACUUGUUCAACUACCACACCUACUAAUUUCAUCUCAUAACCAACAAGGAAACAAUUUCUUAACCACUUACCUUACAAACACUAGAUACAAGGUAGAUGAGAGUCUCUCCCUCCAAACAAAAACCACCAAGCACUUCAAUCACUCCUAGUAAGUAAGUUUUAUGAAGGAAUUUGAGAAAUAAAUGGUUGGAUUACAAGAUUUGGGCAAGAAAAGGGAGCAAAAAUUGAAGAGCUCUCUUUCUUUUCUCUCUAUAGUUGGCCGACCAAGAAGGUGAAAAUGAAAGACAAAUUUUGGUCAAAAUUGGUUUAGUAAAGGUAAAGAAAGACUAGUCAAAUGCCAAGCUCCAAUCACAAGGCAACAUGUGUCCAUUCCAAGCUUAUCUCAUUUCUUUUUGUCUCUCCAAUACAAAUAUCUUAACACUUUGUAAAAUAAUAUCACUUAAUACAAAUUUUCAACAAGUUGUCAAAAAUAUAAUGCAUUUACCGCACUAGCGGGUCCCACGUCCAAAAUACGCUCUUAGUUUCUCAAAAACUAACUGAUACUAGAAAAAUCAUUUUAAAGCUAUCUUUGCUCAUAAACUUUAUCUGGGGAAUUUUUCUAAGAAAGAAAAUGUAGAAAAGGCGGGCAAUUAAAUAAAAUAAACCCUAGAAAAUUAGAAAAUUUUCGGGUUCUCACUCCCAUUCUUUUCGGGGCGUCACAAACUCCCCCUCUUAAAAGAAUUUCGUCCUCGAAAUUCAUACCUUUGGUGUUCCUGAUCGGCCUAGAAAUGUUUCCCCUCGUCCCUGAUUUAUUUCCUCCCCUCGACUUCUGAGGGCACUGAGCAACUAGGUGUUCAUUGCUACCACAUCGGAAACAUCGCCGAUUUUUCUCUUUCUUCCAACAGGUAUCUUCCGUAUGGUUAGUGGCCCCACAAACAUCACAUACUCUUCUGGUUCCCAACAUUGAUUCCCCAUGUGAGACACCACUUUGGGGCCCUUUUCCUGCCUGAUCUUCCUUUGUUAGUAAAUAUAGUACAAAAAUUAUAAAUUUGAUGUACAGGCCUAUAAUAUUAUAUUAUAUAAUUUAAUAGUAUAUACUAUAUAUGCUAAUAGUAUAUAACAAAUACCGUGGUAUGAGCUAAAAGCCCAGUGAGGUUCCAAAUAGAAAAUUGACCAUUAUUUAUAAGUACAAGUUUUCGAUAUAGCAAAGUAACGAGCAUGAAACGGUGCGAUAAGAAAACUAUCUAUUGCAUUAAAUGCUCUGUCUAUUAAUCAUGAUUAAAGCAAAUGGUGUAAUUAUAAAUUAUUAUUAUAUUAUAAUGAACCACUAUUAUAUAUAAUAAUAGUAUACAUAUUAUAAUAUUUUUGUAAAAUAUGUAUAAUAGUGGUUUUAAUAUAUGCAAAUAUAUUAUACUAAUAAAUUAUAAUAAUAUUAAUAACUAAUAUAUUAUAAUUAUAUAAAUAAUAUAAUAUAAUAUAAUAUUUAUAAUAAUUAUUAUUAAAUAAUAUGUUUAGGAUAUAAUAUACUAUUAAUAAUCAUAAUAUUUAUAAUAUAUAAUACUAUUUAAUUUACUAUAGUAUAAUUAUUAAAUAUUUAUUAUAUUAAUAUAUAAAUAUAAAUAUUAAAUAUAUAUUAUUUAUAUUAGUAUAUUAAAUAAAAUAUUAGUGUACUAUAUUUUAUAAAUUUGAUAAUAUAUAACUAAUAUAAAUUAUUAAAAUUUAUAUUAUAAUAAUAAAAUAUAUAUAAUAAAUUAUAAUUUAUACAAAUUAUAAUAGUUACAUAAUAUUUAUAUAUUAUAAUUAUUAAUUAUUAUUAUACAGAUAUAUAUUUAAUAAUUUAUAUAUUAAUAUAUUAAUAUUAAUGAUAAUAUUAGUUUAAACAAUAUAAUAUAUUGUAUAAUUAAUUUAUAAUACUAAUAUUAUUAAAUAAUAUUAUAUUAAUAUAUUAAUAUUAAUUAGUAUUAAUAUAAUAUUAUUAUAUAACAUAAAAUAUGGAUAUUUAUUAUUAAAUAUUAUAUAUUAAUAAUAUUAGUUUAUACUAAUAUACUAUUAUAAUAAUUAUAAUUUAUUACCAACUGUGACAGUUCUCAGGGUCACAUCACGGGGUACCUAUCAGCUUGCCACCCGCACGCGGGCAUCCCCUACAGAGAGUUUCGCUUCGUGACUUUUCACGAACGAGAGGCUCGAGACUUUUCCAGACGAAGGACUUAAAGUCCCAACUGUCGGCAUAUGGCUCUGAUACCAACUGUGACAGUUCUCAGGGUCACAUCACGGGGUACCUAUCAAACAUAUUAUAAUUUAAAAUAUAUAUAAUAAAUUAUAAUUUAUACAAUAUAGUACACUAUAUUUUGAAACAUAACUCAACAAUAUAUAUGAUUGGUGAACUCAAUAUAUAUUUUGAAACAUAACUCAACAAUAUAUAUGAGGGGUGUUUGGUGAACGGGAUUCGGUGUAAUGCUAGUAUUAUGAUAAUAUAAUAAUAUUAUUAAUAAUAUUAGUAUUAGUAUGAUAAAUUAUAUAUUAUAUUAUUUAUUAAUAUUAGUAUGAUAAAUUAAUUAUACAAUAUAUUAUAUUAUUUAAACUAAUAUUAUCAUUAAUAUUAAUAUAUUAAUAUAUAAAUUAUUAAAUAUAUAUCUGUAUAAUAAUAAUUAAUAAUUAUAAUAUAUUAUAAAUAUUAUUAUAUAUUUAAAUAUGCUAGUAUUAUAUUAAUAUAAUAGUAUAUUAUAUUAUUUUAAUAUAUAAAUUAUAUAAUAUAUUAUAAUUAUAUUAUAAUAUAAUAUUAUAAAUAUUAUAAUUUAAUUAUGAUUAUUAGUUACAAUAAUAACAUAAAUAAUUUGUUAAAUAAUUAUAUAAUCUAAGAUUAUUAUAUUAUCAUAAUACUUAUUAUAAUAUUAUAUAAUUAUUAUAUUCAAUAUAUUAAUUAUAUAUAUAUUAUUAAUAAAACAUAAUAUAUAAAUAUGAUAUAAUAUUUAGAUUAUUAUAUUAGUGUACAAUAAAAUAAUAUAUAAUGUAUAAAAUUAUUUAACAAUUAUUAAUAUAUAAUUGUAUAAUAUUAUAAAUAUUAUAUAUUUAUUAUGUUUAUUAAAUAAUAUAUAAAUUAUAUUAUAUAGUUGGCUCGGGGUGACUUUUGAAUAAAUUUUGUAGAUUAAAAAUUUUGUAUAUAUAAAUUUUGUACAAGAUUAUUUUGUAGAUUAUUGGAAUUUGAUGUGAGGUGCUAUGUUUCAUAAAACAUAUUUGUAUGUUAAAAUCAUCCAAAUCUCCAAUGCCUCUUAUGUCCUGAAUAUAUCUACAAAAUUUCCGGUCAAACGGAUCUGUGUAGCUCGAGUUAUAACCAAAACACUCGCACCUGUUUUGUACCCUGAAAUUGUGUACGUUUUGAAUUUCAGUCUCUGACCGUGCAUUUUUCGGUUUUGAUCCUGUAUGAUCUGGGUGUCGACUCUUUCAUAAGAAAUGUAGAUCUUGGUUUUAACUUCGAAACGGUAUAAAGUGCGUCAAAUUCCGAGUUCCGUAGCUUCCGUUAUGACCAAAACAAGAUUGAUAGUCAGAACUGCCUUUGAUCUGGACAGUUCUGACGGGUACUUUGGCACUCAAUUUUCGUUCUGUUCUGAAUGGAUUCAGGUCUUGACCAAAACAUCAAAGUUUUAGCCUUAUGUCUCAGCUUUCAAAUGCCUUUGGAAUUUUCUGAUUUCGAUUUGUGAGCUGGGAGUUAUGGUCCAGCCAACAUACCCUGUUCGUCACUCUAAAGUGCGAAUUUCUUGAACGAUUUUCCAUACUUUCGACCUAUUUCUGUUCAGAUCCGGACUUAGGUGUCUUCAUGAAAAUAGUAGCCCUUCCUCUUAGCUUCGCAACGGUACCUCAUGUACCUUGAUCCGACAUUCCUAGGCUAAAUUUUGAUCAAAACGGUUUGAGAAGGCAGAUUUGACCAUUUCCGUUUGCCGUUCCGCGCGGGCGCGUGCACCCGUUUUGCCGUUUCCGCACUUGCAUGUGCCGAUUUUGCCAUUUUUGCUUGUUUUAAGUAUGUUAGUAGCCGUUUGUGAUAUAUUGUGACACAAUCUUCAAUUUCAGAAGUUGGUGAGCUAGGUGGAGCCGGUGGGGCCUGCUAGCUACUCCUCGCGGCACGAAUUUCGUACUUUUGCUCUUUUGUUCGUUGUGUAAGUAUUCAGGCCACUCUUAUGUGUUAGUUGUUUAUGUGUUUUGAUAUGUAUGAAAAGGGUACCUAGGCGAGGGUGUACUUUAUCGCACUCGACCUAAACCCUAAUUUACGCACACAUUUGUAUAUGGCAUAUGUAUAUGAAUCAUUUUGGAACUAAACCCCUUGAGCUUGUGGCUCGGGGUGACUUUUGAAUAAUUUUGUGAAGUUUGUGAGUUUGGGGUUGAUCUUCCGACCGAGAUGGACUAUUUGAGCCGGUCAGGGCUUGGUCGAAGUCAGUCCAACUUAGUCUGAGGUCACCAAGUUUGUGAAUCCGGUUCACUGAGAAUGUGGACCAAGUUUAUGACCCGAGCUUGUGAUUCAAUCUCAAGUUUGUGAUUUCGUUCGCCCGGACAAGUUUGUGAGGUGACUGGGCAGUGAGGGUUAUAAGGUGUUCGGUGGGUGUACAAGUGAAGUUUCUACGGACCUUAUUUAUGGUCGACGGAGUGUCGACAGGAGAUCACGCAUGGCAAAUGACUUGGCUUUGGAGCCACCUGUAUCCUUUUCUGCUUUUGCUUUACUCUUACUGUGCAAUUGUUGUUACGUGAGAUUUACGCUUUUGCCCCUGUUUACUUACUAAGCAUAUAGCUUACCCCUUUCCUUUUGUUUUCCUUAGCAGGGGCCGACGCGGGGACUUUUGACACAUACACUAGUAUAGUUAGGUUUGAUUGUAACAGUCGGACAGUUAGGAUGUUUGUUUCUGUUUUGGUGGUUUGUAUAAGAACCCUCCAUAGGGUCUACCUUCUGCUGGUUGUUAUUCUAAUGUAUUAGAGUGGUUUGACUCGAUACUUUUGAAGAUGUAAAUAGAACUCUUUUGGCGUUAGAUAUCUUGUGAAUAGUAUGCUGUAGGUUUCUUUAAUUUUAUUGUUUUAAAAUUUUGAGUCCCGGCGAGAGCUGGGCAGGCGGCCCGCCGAACCCUUUGGUUCGCCUUAGGGGGAGGUGGGGCCGUCACAGAGCUUACGCCCGGUGGUAUACUAUCACUCAAGCAACCAAGUCAUAUAGGCAUAAAGCGGUCAAGAAAGAAAUAAACCAAGAUCACACAUUAACAAGAUGGGUAAAAGGAUACGGACGGCUCUCAAGAGCCCCUUUCCUCGCUCGUAUACUUGAUCGGACUUCGUUGACCCUCCGUCAAGGUUUACAAAGUAACCAUCCGUAGGCUCCACUUUACUUCCAUUCCUUCCACCCAACAUACCCCUACCGGGCACGAACUCCAAACAGUAGAAAUUUGGUAAUACUCGAGUAUACCGGAAUCAAGAGUCUCACUACUACAAUUUCAUGUAUAAAACUAGUGAAAUUCUCCAAGAAUUACUCUAGCUAAAACGCUCCAUUUUUAGAGUUCAAGCUCAUGGAAAUCAAGGGAAUAAGACUAGGGAUUGAAAUCCAUUUCUCAAGUAUGAAAUGAGAUGCCAUUAACCAAAAAAGUAGGCAACCAAGAAAACGCAUCAAGAAAAGUUUAAUACAUUGGAAACCAAGAUUCAAAGUGAAGGUCUAAAGUUCAAAGAGACCUUGUAUCCAUCCAUGAAAUCAAACUUAAAAAUGAACUAACAAUCUCAGAGGAAAAGUUGAGAGUUCUUAAAAGAGCAUUUUGUUUGAAACUAGAAAAUUCUAGCUUUGUGCGAUACCACUUAGAAAAAUCAUAUCUCGAGUUUCGUAAGUCCAAAAAUUGGAAACUUUAUACCGUUGGAAACUAGACUCAAUGUUCUAAAACUCUCUAGAAGAAACUUUUUCCGGAUUCAAAUCCGAAGUCAUUCAAAUUUUAGCUCCAACUCACUGUUCCAGCAAGAACAGAGCAAAACAGUCUUGCAUUUCAGUAAACUUUGGAAAUUUGGAAAAAUUUAUAGAAAUAGAAUCAGCCCUUGAAAUUUAUACCACUGAUAGAACUCCAAAUCUUGUUUCAAACGCAAUAAAAGGAACUCAAUUUGGACCUUUCUACACCAAGAUACAACAGUUUUAAGAAAGCUGAUUUUUAGAACCUGGUUCACGAAAUUUCCAGUUUUGGAGCACUUGACACAGUUUCAAAAUCUGGUCAUAACUAAAGCUACACAACUCAAAAUUUAGCGUGGUUUGCUACAAUGAAAACUAGAUUCAAAAUUCUAAAAAUCACUAGAAGGAACUGUCUUAAAAUUCAUUUGGUAAGAUAAGGGAAAACGAGCUACAAACUGCAGCUACACUUGUUUCUCGGAUGAAAACAGUGAGGAAAAUCAGUCAAUUUUUCUGGUUCACUACGGCUCAUAGAAAACGAAUUAGAAGGUAUAUUUUAUACCAAUGGAAAGCCCUCGGAGUCUAGUUUCAUAUGCCACAAACAAAACUUGAUUUCGAGUCCUGGACGAAGAGUUAUGGACUGAAACGUACACACUGGUUUGGUGUCCUGGUCAGCAGUUUUCCAGAUUUUCUUCCUCACUUUAACCCAACUUUCACUCAACCAAAUAAGAUGCUUUUAAGGAGAUAAUUUACACAUAUAAAACCAACAUAUAACAAGUAUUUUGGAAUCAAAAUAAUCACAAAAUUAGAAAUUAAAAUGAAGGAAAUAACCAGCAGAAAUUCGGACAGCAUGCUCCCUUUUCUCUCUUCAACUUUUCUUUUCAACUCUCAACCAAAACCAAGUUACCGUAACUCAUCAAAACAGCAACUAAACAAGCAAUUCCUCAAGGCCACUACAUAAGAAGCCACCUCAAGACAUCUACCUAGAGUCAAGGUUCAAUGAACCCAUCAACAACCCAAGCUUAGCUAAUUAAAACUAACUAAACUAACCAUAAGUUGGAGGAAAAAAAAUGAGAGCUUUGGAGUGUUACUUCACUUCCAAGAGAUGAAGACCAAACCACUAGUGUUUAAGCUCUAAACGACCAAGGUUCCUUCCUCCUUCAAGUUUCCCUUCAAGCUUGAGUGAUAUUCCAAGGAAGUGAACAAGAUUGGAGUGUGUUUUUGGAGCAAAAAUGAAAGAAAAGCUAGCUGAAAUUUUUGUAAGAAAAGGAGCAAGAGUGGCCGGCCAAAGAGGGGAGGGAAAGAGAGGGUUUGUGUGAGUUGUUGGUGAGGUGAUGGAAUGACAAGGAAGAAAUGACAUAAAGGUGCUUUUGGUGUAAAAAGUCAACAAAUGAAUAGUAGGCCAUUAGUGCUCCUAAUUGAGCUUAAUUUAACUCACUCACCUCAAUUAACUUUUCUUAGUCUACUCUUGAUCACCCUUAAUUCUCCAAGACCACUGCACUCUCGGAUCGAAUUUUGCCUCGAAAAACGUGUAUUCACUAUUUCUCACUAAACGAGCCGCAGAAAAAUUAAAUUCACUAGCAACCGUUUUAAAAGUAUAAAAUGAGACAUUGUUCCUUGCAAAUGCAAUUAAAAUGGAUGAACUAAUUAAUUGGAGUAAACAGAUAAAUAAAUAAUUAAAUAAACUAGUAAAAUCAAAUAAAAGUAAGUAAAAUAAAAUUUGGAUCCUCACACAAUCUCAUCAUCUGAUCAUGUACUAAAGCAAUCUGAUUAUGUCUUCUGUGAUCCAGGAUCACGUACAAGGAAAUGUGUCAGUGGUUGUUUCAAUUCAGGGGAGUAAUCCAAGUCCUCCCGAACAAGAUGCAGCUAUCAAUGUGCAAGUUAAUUUGCAGGCUAGCACAAGUACUUCUACCAAGAGAGUAAGCAUUAUAAUGUCAUACAUUGUUGCUGCAAAAUUCAGAACUAGUAAAUUAUUGGCGUCAUUUAUAGCUUUACUGCAAAGAGUUUAAAUUCGUUCUUUUCUGAUGUAGAAAGGAAGGCCUUCAAUGAAAACCAAUGCUGCUGUGAACAAGCAAGGUACAAGUCCCUUUGCACCAAUUGCUCAAGCUACUCCAAAUGGUGGAUCUCAAGCUGAAACUUCUGUUAGCAUCAAUAUUGCUGCAACAGUGGUCUCUAACGUUGUUACCAGCAGUUUCUCUAUGGUGUUUUGAGAGUGCUAAACGUUCCCUGCAAUCCUUGCUUUUGGUAUCUGAAGUAGUUUAAGUACUAGUGUUCUUAGUUCCCAACAAUACUGAGGCAAUGUUAGCUUUUGUGGACACUUUUUUGAUAAGUGGUGCAAUGUGGUGUUGAUUUAUAUUUCCUGCCACUUAUGGUGCUAUUUGACUAAUCUUAGAACUACUUGUGUAUAGUUUUGCGCAUUGCAAUCCUCAGCAGCUAAACAACUAGUUGUAGAUGGUGUUUUUUUCACAAUUGGAUUGCAAUAUAAGGUUUAGAUAUCAUGUUACCACUUAUGGUGCUAUUUGACUAAUCUUAGAACUACUUGUGUAUAGUUUUGCGCAUUGCAAUCCUCAGCAGCUAAACAACUAGUUGUAGAUGGUGUUUUUUUUUUUUCACAAUUGGAUUGCAAUAUAAGGUUUAGAUAUCAUGUUACUAGACUGAUCCAAUGUAGUAUCAUGGACUACGUAAUUAGUUAUGCAUGUCUAUAUUGCCAAAAUCUUUGAUAAUUAGUUAGAACAUUCUUUUUAUUACACUUUUAUCCCCUCACCUUCUAAAUUAAUAUCAUGUGCCUAUUUGUUUCUAUUUUUAUCUUCUAAAAUUCACUAGUCAUCUUGGACUGUGGGUAAAAGUGGAACAAAAAUAAAGUCUCCCUCCUAAAAUUCAUUUUUUACUACUCUUUUCAAAUACAGUGGCUGACAAUGAUACCAAAGUUGUCAUUCCAGGGGUGCUAGGUGUGAUUUCGAAAACAUUGAGGGUGCUAGGUGUGAUUAAAAGAAAUCUCAGGAGAGGCUUCUGAUAUUAACCCAUAUUACAAUUACAGCUUAUAAUGUUACCAGUGAAAGGUAAUUGCCAGAGAUUAAAAAAAUAGUAGGAAAACCAAAAUUGUUAGAAAUUAAGGAAGCAAAAAAGUGAGAACAUGUUGAGAAACAAAUACUAGAAAGCACUUUUACCUGAGAGGAUGAGAAUGAUCAUUGCAAAAUAAAUAGUUUAAGUUAUACUGAGCUUAGUAUUUUAAGAAAACUGCAUAUACACUCUGCAAGUAGAUUCUUUGCUUCCUUAGAGCCAUGAGCAGUUAAGCACAACAGUAAUGUUGCCCGUCUGAUCGAUCUUUUGCAAGUAUGAGAAAAAGAACAAGAACUUUAUAGAAAAAUGUCAUCAGUAUUGGUUGGAGCCAGCUUGAAGUCCUUCAAUUCCACUUGUCUUAGGAGGCACCAAGUGGAUGCGACCGAGAUUUACAGAAAAAUUUUCUAUAUUCCCUAAAAGUAACGAGCUUUGUCAAAGAAAUUACAAGGAUGGUACAUACUUCAUAUCCUCCAGUUUUCCAAAAUAAUUCUAGAAUAAAGUCUUCAUAUGCUCUUUUCUCCCAACUGGAGAUGGCAAAAUGAACGGUGGGAUCUGCUUGGGUUUGAAAUGGAACCGAGUACUAUGGGUUAGACCCAAUUUUACCCGUAUGUGUUCUGAGACUAAUUUGGGCGGGAUCAUUUUAGAAUGGAUUUAAAUUAAUCUUGUCUAAUAUCCAAAUCUAUUUCUUCUAUUCUAUUUUCCUUUAAUUCGUUUUUUAUUUUUAUAUAACUUUUAUAUUUUUGAUUCAUUAAAUUUCGUUUGAUCUUAUUGUGAAUUUAUAUUUUUCUGAAUUCUUUUUUCCUUAAAUUUUCUUUUAUUUAUUUUCUAUGUAUAUAUAUAUUUUUUAAUCUUUGAUUUCCAAUGUUGCUAAAUUUUAAUUGAGAAAAAAUAAGUCCUAAGAAAACUUGAAAAGACUUGUAUAUAUGAUUAUAAAGAAAUGCCAUUAUAUAGGCUUUGUAUUUUUGCUACUGGAGUUUGUGGAAAAACAUGGCUAGUUAAAUUAGUUGUAACCCAACAACAAGGCACAAGGACGAAAUUUUAGUUGCUUUAAAACUUUUCACAUAUGCACCAGAGGCACAUCAACCUGAAUGCUUUAACCUGAACAAGAAAAAAAUAACACAAUUUCCUAUAUUUUAUUUCACUUUAACGGCUAGCAAUUUUUCAGAAUCAUUUUGUCAAGGUAACUAGAUGGUUUAAUUUAAAACUCAAUCUAGAAUUAUUAUCUUAAUAUUUUCCUUGCAAUACAGAAAGAAAUGAGAACAAGAAACAGGAGAAUAGGAUUUGAGGACAAACGAAUUUCUAACCACAUGACCCUACUUUAUUCCCCACAUCUUUAGCAACAACAACAACAAAGUUUAUUCAUUUAGAAGAAAGGAAUUUUUGGUUAAAUUAAAUUUGUGUGAGAUGUUUGGGCCCAAUGAGUACCCAAGUAUUUUCCAAAAAUUCUUAUCAAUUGAUGGAUAUAAAUGGAUUAGUCCCAUUUCAAAUCCAAUUUCAAAAUUAUAAUAUCCAUUCUGCACAAAGUCCCUUUGGGCAUGAGUAGUACAGAUUGCCAUCCCUACUCCCAACCACCCAAAACAAAUAAAAAAUAAAAAAAAUCUUGAACUGCCCUAGUAUUUUGGCACUCCACUGUAAGCCUAUUAUUCUCACCAUCAUAGAGUCAAAAAGAUGCAAAGCGGAAAGUAACCCAAUGGAUAGAAAACAGCAGGAUUUGCCUUCAAGACUUGUUUAUGGUAUGUUUAGAACAACAGAAAGAAUAAACCAACUUACCAAUUAACUACAGGUACAACGGAAGGGAAGAACGUACAUGAGGAAGAAAGUUUUAGAAAAAUACACAUUUUACCAUUACCAGCACAACAUAUAUUUAAGCAGUCAAAACUGCAGCAAUUACAUCUCAGUGAAAACAUAUAUAAAGAGACACAUGCCGAAAAAAAAUAUAGUCAAGGUCUUUACUACAUCCUUCAGCCAAAAGGCAGUGUCAUGACUCUCUAUCUAGCAUCUCCUGGUUAUUACCAAGUGUUGUGUUUCCAAUCUGUGAUCGUUUUG
rnacentral:lncRNA from 1 species